CCUAGGGGAGGCAGAAGUGGGGAAUUUUGGACAAUGGGCGAAAGCCUGAUCCAGCAAUGCCGCGUGCAGGAUGAAGGCCCUCGGGUUGUCCUCUAGUAUAAUAGAAAGGAACGAAAAGCCUGGGGCCAAUACCCCCGGGUCAUGACGGUACCGUAAGAAUAAGCACCGGCUAACUACGUGCCAGCAGCCGCGGUAAU
rnacentral:rRNA from 1 species